CACGGGGGGAGCAAGCGUUGUUCGGAAUCACUGGGCGUAAAGGGCGUGUAGGCGGUCAAGUAAGUGGGACGUGAAAGCCCCCGGCUCACCCGGGGAUCUGCAUCCCAAACUGCUUGGCUUGAGUAUGGGAGAGGAUAGGGGAAUUCCUGGUGUAGCGGUGAAAUGCGUAGAUAUCCGGAGGAACACCGGUGGCGAAGGCGGCUUCCUGGACCGACACUGACACUGAGGAGCGAAAGCCAGGGGAGCAAACGGG
rnacentral:rRNA from 1 species